rnacentral:lncRNA from 1 species
GUUGGGAUAUGCAAGUACCCGACCAAAUCCACUCUAUGUAGUAUUUAUAUUUGUAUCCAUCUGAAAGGUUCAGCCUUUUUAAACUGAUUUUUUAUGGUUUUUCUUUUGUUGUACUAUUACACCACUGUCCUAGGUUAGGGGGAGGGUUGGGAUACUGCUUAAAGAACAUGUUUAACCCAACCACAUUCUGUUUCACUAUGUAUGAAUGUGUCUGUCCCUAUCAGCAGCCUGUAAUUCAGUGGUUGUUGUUUGUUUUUCCUUUAUCUUUAUACAACUAUACAUUGGUAUUAUGUAUUUUGCUCAUUGUUGAAGGCUGUACAGUAACCUAUAGUUGUUUAAUUUCUGUGUCAUUUGAUCUCUUGUGGAGAGUUGUCUCAUUGGCAAUUAUACCACAUCUUCUUUUUUAUACUCAUCUUCUUAUUUUUAUACAUGUUAUAUAGCCUUUUUUGAUUUUCAAUUUUAGUUCAUUUAUAUGUUUUGAAGUUUAGUAUGACAUCCAUUUUCACUGAACUAGUACACACUAUUUUGAGUCCAUCUAAAGCCUGACUGAGGGUGCUGGAUUUUCUUCGCUGUGAUGAAGAUGCAUUGGUGUCCUUUGGCUAUUUUCUUCUCCUUAAUUGUCUCUUUGACACAUUCCUUAUCUCUAUUCUCAAUUUUACAUAUUCAACACUAAAGCAGAUUUUUUUAUUCCUACUUGUCUUUUGACUGUCCAAAGUAGGCAUUUGGAAAACUCCUGGGUGAUCUUUGUGUCCAUAGCAUAAACAUAAUAAACUGUAAUGCCACUUAUUUUCACCAUCAUAACAAUUGAGCAUUCAGUUAUUUAGAAAUAUCAGUUAGAUUAACAAUGUUUUUUUGCCAUGUUAGAGCCUUUUAAAACUUAUUAUAGGCUAUGGAUUUUGCUCAUUGUUGAAG